rnacentral:snoRNA from 1 species
AAUCCAAAUAGGUGGCAAAAAUGCCAUAGUCUUACAAUGAUAUGAGCAGUUAUACACAUGGGAUAAAAUAAUACUGGGCCAUUAUAAAUUGAGAUGAAGUAAUCAUUUUCAUCUCUUAUGCAUGGACUAGACAUUG